UACGAAGGGAGCUAGCGUUGUUCGGAAUCACUGGGCGUAAAGCGCACGUAGGCGGAUUUGCCAGUCAGGGGUGAAAUCCCGGGGCUCAACUUCGGAACUGCCUUUGAUACAGCACAUCUGGAGUCCGGAAGAGGUGGGUGGAAUUCCUAGUGUAGAGGUGAAAUUCGUAGAUAUUAGGAAGAACACCGGUGGCGAAGGCGGUUCUCUAGUACGGUACUGACGCUGAGACGCGAAAGCGUGGGGAGCGAACAGG
rnacentral:rRNA from 1 species